UGACCGUCCACAUGUUUACCAGAUCUCCUCAGGCAUGGGCUGCCUGGAACAGUUCUUAACGCUCACCCCCGUGCCUAAGUGUUGACCUUUAUCCCACAAGGCUCUCCUGUCAGCUGCCGCAUAUCAACGGUUUCCCAGUCCCUUAGAAGAUCACCGCAGUCACACACUAGUACAGAGCGGCUGCUGUUGAAUGCUGCCUCUCGCCCUGCUGGGAUUAGUCGCGCUCGUGCUCUUGUUCCUACGCUGGCGGUCGCACCCCGAGGCCACGGCAGGGAUGCCUGGAGGAGGACAAGCCUCCGCUGCGGUGCCCGAGGAGCUGCCCGCUGACGCACACGCCCCCCUGGCCCGGAGGAACAGCCCCAGCAGCCCGCCGCCCCACGCAGCACCGCUGCCCCCGCUGGCCCG
ensembl:lncRNA